rnacentral:misc_RNA from 1 species
AAACGAUUUUGGAUUAAAUCCUCAAAAAUGUAUAAUGCUUCCAGGUUAUGUUGUACUACUCUUCCCCAAGUCAGUUUAGGUCUACCACAUCAAUGAUAUUACAAAUUACAAAGCAAUUCAAUAUUAUUCCAAGGGUUAUAGACUUGGCAUCUUAUAUGAGAAGUGAUUGUUUUGUAUGAUAAGUAGAAAUGGUAAUUUUUUGCUCAGCCAAAAAAUUUCUUUUUUUUUUUUCCCUCAAUUUAUAUUGUCAAACUUCAAGCUAUGCAUGCAGGAAGACUACAAGAAGAAGAGACCAGAUCAUAAUGCUCUAAGGAUUAAAACCAUUUGACCCAGUGAUUUAAAUACCUUGUAAGUGUUCUCAUAAAACAUUCCAACCCUAUACAGGGCAAGUACAAAUUUUUACCUCUUAGACUACAAGCAUUUAAAAAAUUAAGCCUCUUCCACUCCUUCAAAUGAUAGUAAAAUUGUUUGUACUGGUAUUCUAUAUACAAGCACAAACAACUAAAAUAGGGCAAUCAAUUCUACAAAAA